CACGUAGGGGGCAAGCGUUGUCCGGAUUUAUUGGGCGUAAAGAGCUCGUAGGCGGUUCGGUAAGUCGGGUGUGAAACCUCCAGGCUCAACUUGGAGACGCCACCCGAUACUGCUGUGACUCGAGUCCGGUAGGGGAGCGUGGAAUUCCUGGUGUAGCGGUGAAAUGCGCAGAUAUCAGGAGGAACACCAGCGGCGAAGGCGGCGCUCUGGGCCGGAACUGACGCUGAGGAGCGAAAGCGUGGGUAGCAAACAGG
rnacentral:rRNA from 1 species